rnacentral:lncRNA from 1 species
UGAGAGCAGACUAGAUUGAGUUCCACUUCCAUACUCUAGUUUACAUAGGGCUAAUGGCGCGUCUAGUCCUACCUCUUCUCCCUAAGCUCUUUGUUCAAGUAAUACACUUUCUUUCAUCCUCUUCUCUCUAACUAGUAAGCAAGUAAACCAACCACCUUGUAAGAGACUUUUGAUUGACUUUUCGUUCCGGAUAACAGUUAUACUUUGAGUGGUGGCAGGUAGGCGGGAGACCUCUCAAUCCUUACUUCAAGGGGAGAAUAGCGGAGAUGGUCAGAAUGCCCCUAAAUCUGUAAGUUGGUUUGAAAGAUGAUCUGUGGGAUGGUUCUCGUUAAUAAGUAUCGGAAGAAAGCUAGGCUUCGUCUCUGUCUAAGGCAAGGCAAGGGCGGGAAAGAAUUCCAUAAAUCCAGGAUAGGUCUACAAAAGGGAAUGCUGUGUUAGGUUGACUUAUAUAUCUGCUGAGCUAUCAAGUAAGAAGAAAACCGGCUUGAAUUCGAUGCUUGCUGCUGACCUU